UACCAGCACCCCGAGUGGUCUGUACGAUUAUUGGGCCUAAAGCAUCCGUAGCCGGGUUUACAAGUCCUCCGUUAAAUCCAGCUGCUUAACAGAUGGGCUGCGGAGGAUACUAUAAGACUAGGAGGCAGGAGAGGCAAGCGGUACUCAGUGGGUAGGGGUAAAAUCCGUUGAUCCAUUGAAGACCACCAGUGGCGAAGGCGGCUUGCGAGAGUGCGCUCGACGGUGAGGGAUGAAAGCUGGGGGAUCAAACCGG
rnacentral:rRNA from 1 species